AAUUUUGGACAAUGGGGGAAACCCUGAUCCAGCCAUGCCGCGUGUAUGAUGAAGGCCUUCGGGUUGUAAAGUACUUUUGGUAGAGAAGAAAAGGUACCUCCUAAUACGAGGUACUGCUGACGGUAUCUGCAGAAUAAGCACCUGAUACCUUCGUGCCAGCAGCCGCGGUAAUACGUAGGGUGCUAGCGUUAAUCGGAAUUGCUGGGCGUAAAGCGUGUGUAGGCGGUUCGGAAAGAAAGAUGUGAAAUCCCAGGGCUCAACCUUGGAACUGCAUUUUUAACUGCCGAGCUAGAGUAUGUCAGAGGGGGGUAGAAUUCCACGUGUAGCAGUGAAAUGCGUAGAUAUGUGGAGGAAUACCGAUGGCGAAGGCAGCCCCCUGGAAUAAUACUGACGCUCAGGCACGAAAGCGUGGGGAGCAAACA
rnacentral:rRNA from 1 species